rnacentral:rRNA from 1 species
AAAGGAAUUGACGGGACCCCGCACAAGCAGCGGAGCGUGUGGUUUAAUUCGAGGCUACACGAAGAACCUUACCAGGGUUUGACAUGCAAGUGGUAGGAAUCCGAAAGGUGACCGACCCUUCGGGGAGCUUGCACAGGUGCUGCAUGGCUGUCGUCAGCUCGUGUCGUGAGAUGUUCGGUUAAGUCCGCUAACGAGCGCAACCCUCGUCGUGUGUUAUACGUGUCACACGAUACUGCCGGUAUCAAGCCGGAGGAAGGUGGGGAUGAUGUCAAGUCAGCAUGGCCUUUAUAUCCUGGGCUACACACACGCUACAAUGGCCAACACAAUAGGUUGCUAAGCCGCGAGGUGGCGCCAAUCCAUAAAGUUGGUCUCAGUUCAGAUUGUAGGCUGCAACCCGCCUGCAUGAAGAUGGAGUUGCUAGUAACCGCAGGUCAGCUAUACUGCGGUGAAUACGUUCCCGGGGCUU